AUUGAACGCUGGCGGCAGGCCUAACACAUGCAAGUCGAGCGGAUGACGGGAGCUUGCUCCUUGAUUCAGCGGCGGACGGGUGAGUAAUGCCUAGGAAUCUGCCUGGUAGUGGGGGACAACGUUUCGAAAGGAACUCUAAUACCGCAUACGUCCUACGGGAGAAAGCAGGGGACCUUCGGGCCUUGCGCUAUCAGAUGAGGCUAGGUCGGAUUAGCUAGUUGGUGGGGUAAUGGCUCACCAAGGCGACGAUCCGUAACUGGUCUGAGAGGAUGAUCAGCCACACUGGAACUGAGACACGGUCCAGACUCCUACGGGAGGCAGCAGUGGGGAAUAUUGGACAAUGGGCGAAAGCCUGAUCCAGCCAUGCCGCGUGUGUGAAGAAGGUCUUCGGAUUGUAAAGCACUUUAAGUUGGGAGGAAGGGCAGUAAGCUAAUACCUUGCUGUUUUGGCGUUACCGACAGAAUAAGCACCGGCUAACUCUGUGCCAGCAGCCGCGGUAA
rnacentral:rRNA from 1 species